UACGUAGGGAGCAAGCGUUGUCCGGAAUCAUUGGGCGUAAAGCGCGCGUAGGCGGCCCUGUAAGUCCGUUGUGAAAGUCAAAGGCUCAACCUUUGAAAGCCGAUGGAUACUGCAGGGCUAGAGUCCGGAAGAGGCGAGUGGAAUUCCUGGUGUAGCGGUGGAAUGCGCAGAUCUCAGGAGGAACACCAAUAGCGAAGGCAGCUCGCUGGGACGGUACUGACGCUAAGGCGCGAAAGCGUGGGGAGCAAACAGG
rnacentral:rRNA from 1 species